rnacentral:rRNA from 1 species
GUACACGCUGUGACUAGCAUAUCAAUAAGCGGAGGAAAAGAAACUAACAAGGAUUCCCUCAGUAACGGCGAGUGAAGCGGGAAGAGCUCAAAUUUGAAAUCUUCGAGGUCUACCUUCGACGAAUUGUAGUUUAAAGAAGUGUUUUCUGUGACGAUCUGGUAUAUAAGUUCUUUGGAAUAGGACAUCACAGAGGGUGAGAAUCCCGUCUAUGAUUGCAUAUUUUCAGCUUUGUGAUACACUUUCAAAGAGUCGGAUUGUUUGGGAAUGCAGUCCAAAAUGGGUGGUAAAUUUCAUCUAAAGCUAAAUAUUGGCGAGAGACCGAUAGCGAACAAGUACCGUGAGGGAAUGAUGAAAAGAACUUUGAAAAGAGAGUUAAACAGUAGCGUGAAAUUGUCAAAAGGGAAGCGUUUGACACCAGUGUUGUUUUCUCGAAAAUCAAUUAAAAAUGGCUCGAUUUUGUAUUGCUUGAGACCUUAAAAGCUCACUGUACAUUUUUCGUGUCUUUUUUAAUGCACUUUUCGUUUAACAAGUCAACAUCAGUUUCUUUUGUUGUAAAAGGGUCAUUGGAAGGUGGCUUUCUUUUCGGAGAAAGUGUUUAUAGCCUUUGGCCUCUGCAAUCGGAGAGACUGAGGUCUGCAGCGUAGACUCUUCGGGGUUAGAUACAUUUGUGCUAAGUUAUAGCUUUUUAUAGACAACUUGUUGACUAUAAUUAGUCUUGUAGCUUACUCGCUUAUGCUAUUUUACCUACGCUUAGGAUGUUGAGUAGCGACAUACGCAC